UACGAAGGGGGCUAGCGUUGCUCGGAAUGACUGGGCGUAAAGGGCGCGUAGGCGGUGCAUUUGGUCGGUCGUGAAAUUCCUGGGCUUAACCUGGGGACUGCGCUUGAGACGGGUGUGCUGGAGGGCAGGAGAGGCUCGCGGAAUUCCCAGUGUAGAGGUGAAAUUCGUAGAGAUUGGGAAGAACACCGGUGGCGAAGGCGGCGAGCUGGCCUGUACCUGACGCUGAGGCGCGACAGCGUGGGGAGCAAACAGG
rnacentral:rRNA from 1 species